GGCCGAGAGCGAUAGUGAUUGAGGGUGAGAGCGAUGGUGAGUCGGAGGGUCGGAGGGAGGCCGAAAGCGAUGGUGAUUGAGAAAUAUGAUACCAUAUGAAUACAAAUCGAUGUUCUACAAACCCAGCAUGAGUUUUCUCCUCAACCCAAUUCCCAGAAGUCGCCGAGUCCCGGCCAGGACCGACGGAAACAACACACCGCUCUUGGAAUCAACGACGGAGGCCGGAGUGUCGUUAAGGGACAGCGAGCCCUAAAGUGGCAGCGAACGAUUGGUGAAGAAGAAGUUGAGUGCG
rnacentral:lncRNA from 1 species